rnacentral:rRNA from 1 species
UCCUACGGGAGGCAGCAGUGGGGAAUUUUCCGCAAUGGGCGAAAGCCUGACGGAGCAAUACCGCGUGAGGGAGGAAGGCUCUUGGGUCGUAAACCUCUUUUCUCAGGGAAGAAAAAAAUGACGGUACCUGAGGAAUAAGCAUCGGCUAACUCCGUGCCAGCAGCCGCGGUAAUACGGAGGAUGCAAGCGUUAUCCGGAAUGAUUGGGCGUAAAGCGUCCGCAGGUGGCUAUGUAAGUCUGCUGUUAAAGAGUCUAGCUCAACUAGAUAAAAGCAGUGGAAACUACAAGGCUAGAGUGCGUUCGGGGCAGAGGGAAUUCCUGGUGUAGCGGUGAAAUGCGUAGAGAUCAGGAAGAACACCGGUGGCGAAAGCGCUCUGCUAGGCCGCAACUGACACUGAGGGACGAAAGCUAGGGGAGCGAAUGGGAUUAGAUACCCCAGUAGUCCUAGCCGUAAACGAUGGAUACUAGGCGUGGCUUGUAUCGACCCGAGCCGUGCCGUAGCUAACGCGUUAAGUAUCCCGCCUGGGGAGUACGCACGCAAGUGUGAAACUCAAAGGAAUUGACGGGG